ACUCCUACGGGAGGCAGCAGUAAGGAAUAUUGGUCAAUGGGGGCAACCCUGAACCAGCCAUGCCGCGUGCAGGAAGACGGCCCUCUGGGUUGUAAACUGCUUUUAUCCGGGAAUAAACCCCCUUACGUGUAAGGGGCUGAAUGUACCGGAAGAAUAAGGAUCGGCUAACUCCGUGCCAGCAGCCGCGGUAAUACGGAGGAUCCAAGCGUUAUCCGGAUUUAUUGGGUUUAAAGGGUGCGUAGGCGGCCUGUUAAGUCAGGGGUGAAAGACGGUGGCUCAACCAUCGCAGUGCCUUUGAUACUGACGGGCUUGAAUACACUUGAAGUAGGCGGAAUGUGACAAGUAGCGGUGAAAUGCAUAGAUAUGUCACAGAACACCGAUUGCGAAGGCAGCUUACUAAGGUGCAAUUGACGCUGAGGCACGAAAGCGUGGGGAUCAAACAGGAUUAGAUACCCUGGUAGUCCACGCCCUAAACGAUGAAUACUCGAUGUUAGCGAUAUACAGUUAGCGUCUAAGCGAAAGCGUUAAGUAUUCCACCUGGGGAGUACGCCCGCAAGGGUGAAACUCAAAGGAAUUGACGGGGGCCCGCACAAGCGGAGGAGCAUGUGGUUUAAUUCGAUGAUACGCGAGGAACCUUACCCGGGCUUGAAAGUUACUGAAGUAUCCAGA
rnacentral:rRNA from 1 species